AGUUGGGCUAAUUAUCAUUGCAUUUAUUCGACCGGAAAGUAUGACACUUCUGCAAAAAUUUAGAUAAUUACGUUUACAUUUUGCCGUAAUUUUAUUACGUAAUAACUUAAUCAUUGUUAUUCAAGUGUGUAAAGUAUGCAGUCGUACUAGUAUACUAAGAACUGAGGUUAAGCAAUGGAUAAUUGCAUAUUGUUUCUUUUGUUGGUGAUAUUAGCUUCGGUUAUGGCGCCGCCGGCUCCGGCCAUCACCCAGAUUAAGAUUACAAGAUGCGAUUGUUCAAGUUGUCGUUUUAAGCAGAUUGGCUAUGGUACAGUUCAUGUUACGUUUCGUGGCUCACAGGUUAAGUGUUCGAGACAACCUAUUUUAGGUUUCGGUAGAAGAGUUAUUGGUUGGAAUCAUGACUGUGGUAUAAGUGGACGUUCGGGAAAGUUUGUCGUCAGUCACGGGAGUCUAUGUGGAAUCGACUAUGAUCAUGUGUACCUGAACAAUUGUUCUGGGACCCCAUGUAGUGCCAUCGGUUGAAAACAACAAGACAAUUAGAAGUUAGUGAUUGUAUGCGGAAACCGUUCAUUGAACAGUUUUAGUCUUUGCUACUGUGGAAUAUAUAACACAAAACAAGCAUAUUUCUAACUGGGUAUUUUGUUCAAUCUUUUUGCGCUUGUAUGAAAAAAAGUCUAUUCUCAACAGACAUUGUUUUGACUUAUCUAAAAACAAUAAACACUCAAUAAACACUUUA